CCGCGGUAAUACGGAGGGUGCGAGCGUUAAUCGGAAUUACUGGGCGUAAAGCGCGCGUAGGCGGCGUGAUAAGCCGGUUGUGAAAGCCCCGGGCUCAACCUGGGAACGGCAUCCGGAACUGUCAGGCUAGAGUGCAGGAGAGGAAGGUAGAAUUCCCGGUGUAGCGGUGAAAUGCGUAGAGAUCGGGAGGAAUACCAGUGGCGAAGGCGGCCUUCUGGACUGACACUGACGCUGAGGUGCGAAAGCGUGGGUAGCAAACAGGAUUAGAUACCCUGGUAGUCCACGCCGU
rnacentral:rRNA from 1 species